rnacentral:rRNA from 1 species
UGCAGAGGGUGCGAGCGUUGUUCGGAAUUACUGGGCGUAAAGCGUGCGCAGGCGGUUGUGCAAGACAGAUGUGAAAUCCCCGGGCUCAACCUGGGAAUUGCAUUUGUGACUGCACGGCUAGAGUGUGUCAGAGGGGGGUAGAAUUCCACGUGUAGCAGUGAAAUGCGUAGAGAUGUGGAGGAAUACCGAUGGCGAAGGCAGCCCCCUGGGAUAACACUGACGCUCAUGCACGAAAGCGUGGGGAGCAAACAGG